UGUAACUAAAGCAAAGCCUUCUCCUGGGUGCUCUCAUUGUUCCAGAGACCUGCCUGCACAGCACUUGUACCAGUUAAACCUUUACAUUAACUGGAGUGACAGAUAUGUUAGUGUCCACUGCUGCCUCGCAGGAAUAAAGCCAGAAAAGAUGAAGAAGAUGAGACUCAGAGCAAUACAUAUGUUGCCCAAGGUCAGAGAGCAAUGACCAUAUCAGAGCACGGUGUACUCCUCUUGCCGUAUUCAGAGGAUUUGCCUAUGGGCAGAAACAUUCUCCUCUCCUUCUCUGGAUAUUAGAAACAAUAUCACAGGACCGGAAAACAACCGCAGCCAUAUCGUAAGUAAUGUCAUCU
rnacentral:lncRNA from 1 species